rnacentral:tRNA from 1 species
GGGGCCAUAGCUCAUUUUGGUAGAGCAUCUGGUUUGCAUCCAGAAGGUGAGGGGUUCGAAUCCCCUUGGCUCCA